rnacentral:pre_miRNA from 1 species
AAUAAGUUAAUUUUUCGGUUUUUAGAUAUAAUGUUUUAACUCUGCAUCUUAUUUGAAAUUUUUUUACGAUUACUAUUUUUAUUGUUACUAGAUGAUAAACCAUAAAUAGUACUUUAUGCGUGACUAACUUUUUAAAAUUUUUGCAUAAAUUUUUCAAAUAAGAUGAAUGGUCAAACUUUGGACACAAAUCAAAAAAUGAGAUUAUU